GAAAUGUAACACAAAAAAAUUAAUUCUAUUUAUUGCAUUUUUGGGAUACCCUUUGAGUAUUUUCAUAUUGUGACCGACCCAGCGCCAUCUUGUCACAUUUGCGACGUACAUCUGAUGAUCCAGAACAUGACGAGGACGAACAGGAAAAACAAUUAGGAAUAUAAUAUUCGGCGGACAAGAUAAAAGGAGUUUCAGGCCAAACGAGCUUACAUCGAUUGUGGAGCCAUAAGAGGAGAUACCAGAGCUUCAUCCAUCGUGGAUGUUUAUCCAGAGAACUGCAUCAUGUGCCUAGAGAAAUGCAUAGAGUCCUUGCUCCCCACUAUGAAUUCAUUGAGGAAGUCAGAAUGUGAUGGGAGGAUUGCUGCGCCAGGGUCAUUUUACAGAGUAUGAAAGAAGGCAAUAAAGUCACCAAUCAACAGG